rnacentral:misc_RNA from 1 species
GGCUACCCAAACACAACUGGUUUGCCUACGAUUGAUUAUAGAAUCACUGAUUCACUGGCAGACCCUCCAGAUACAAAGCAAAAGCAUGUUGAGGAGUUGAUUCGACUACCAGAAUGCUUCCUUUGUUAUACACCGUCCCCAGAAGCUGGGCCUGUCUCUCCAACUCCUGCACUUGCUAAUGGCUUUAUUACAUUUGGUAGCUUUAAUAAUCUGGCAAAGAUAACUCCUAAGGUACUACAAGUUUGGGCUAGGAUACUCUGUGCGGUACCAAACUCUCGCCUUGUGGUAAAAUGCAAGCCAUUUUGUAGUGAUAGUGUUAGACAGAGAUUUCUUACAACUUUGGAGGAGCUGGGAUUAGAAUCAGUGCGUGUUGAUCUUUUACCUCUAAUUCUUCUUAACCAUGAUCAUAUGCAAGCAUAUUCUCUCAUGGACAUUAGUUUGGAUACUUUUCCAUAUGCUGGAACAACAACAACAUGUGAAUCUCUAUACAUGGGAGUUCCAUGUGUUACUAUGGCUGGUGCAGUUCACGCUCACAAUGUUGGUGUGAGUCUUCUCAGCAAAGUUGGGCUGGGACAUCUGGUUGCAAAAAAUGAAGAUGAAUAUGUCCAGUUGGCUCUACAGCUUGCCUCAGACAUACCAGCUCUCUC